GAACCUGCCAAUUUUCCGAAGCUUGAGCAACUAAUACUGGAUAAUUUUUCUGCUAUGAAGGAGAUUCCGGAGAGUAUUGGAGAAAUAAUGACACUAAAAUUCAUCCGAGUAAUAUGGUGCAGCUCCGGUGUAGAGAAAAGUGCAAGGAAGAUCCAAGAAGAGCAAGAAAGCUUUGGAAAUUAUGAUCUUCAACUUCAAAUUACUCCUAAGUUUUGGUGAUUGCGUAAAAGCAAUGGAAGAUGAAG
rnacentral:misc_RNA from 1 species